rnacentral:lncRNA from 1 species
AAUUGUGUAAAGUUGUUUUUAUUAUUAAAAUCGUUUAACGUGUAAUAAUGUUAAUACUAAUAACAUUAUUUAAGAGAUAACACAUAUUUCAUAGUAAAAAUUUGAUUUCUUCUAGUGAAACUGUAGGAAAGAUGUAGAAUUAUCUAUGAGGUUAUCUAGAAGGAGCCAAAGGAUAUUAAUAAAGGAAAAGCAACAAGAAACGUGGUGAAAAGGACCUCUUUCUAGAAACUUUGAAGCUGUGCAUUGAAUAAUACCUAAAAACUAUCUCGGAAACUACUUAACUGAAACUGUAGGAAAGAUCUACAAUUAUCUAGAUUCAUCACUAAUUAUGAGGUUAUCUAGAAGGAGCCAAAGGAUAUUAAUAGAGGAAAAGCAACAAGAAACGUGGUGAAAAGGACCUCUUUCUAGAAUCUUUGAAGCUGUGCAUUGAAUAAUACCCAAAAACUAUCUCGGAAACUACUUAACGGAAACAGUACAAAGGAUGGACAAUUAUUUAGAUUCAUCACUAAUUGUGAGGUUAUCUAAGAGGAGCCAAAGCCAAAGGAUAUUAAUAGAGGAAACGUCAUGAAGAGGAGCUAGCUCUAGAAUCGUUGAAUCUGUACAUAUUGAAUUCUAAAUAAUACCCAAAAACUGUCUUGGAACCUUCUUAAUGGAAAUGGUAUGAAGCAAGAACAACUAUCCAGAUUCAUCACUAAUUGUGAGGUUAUUAGAAGGAGUCAAAGAUUAUUGAUAGACGAAAAGUAAUAAGAAACGUGCUUGAUCUAGAAUCGUUGAAGCUGUGCACUGAAUUCUAAAUAAUACCCAAAAACUAUCCUGGAAACUACUUAACGCCUAUCUGAAAGCGAAUCUGUGGAAGAUGUAACAUUUUCUUUGGAAGUGGUUGCUUAUUCUUAUGUCCAAAACAAGAGCUGUAGCUCUUAUGCUACAUCUAGGCAAAUGAAAUAAUUCUUAAAAAACAA